CGGACAUUAGCGCAGUUUGGUAGCGCACUAUUCUGGGGGAGUAGGGGUCGCUGGUUCAAAUCCAGUAUGUCCGACCA
rnacentral:tRNA from 1 species